CACACUGGAACUGAUACACGUUCCAUACUCCUACGGGAGGCAGCAGUGGGGAAUAUUGGACAAUGGGGGGAACCCUGAUCCAGCCAUGCCGCGUGUGUGAAGAAGGCCUUCGGGUUGUAAAGCACUUUAAGCGAGGAGGAGGCUACUGAGACUAAUACUCUUGGAUAGUGGACGUUACUCGCAGAAUAAGCACCGGCUAACUCUGUGCCAGCAGCCGCGGUAAUACGUAGGGGGCUAGCGUUAAUCGGAUUUACUGGGCGUAAAGCGUGCGUAGGCGGCUUUUUAAGUCGGAUGUGAAAUCCCUGAGCUUAACUUAGGAAUUGCAUUCGAUACUGGGAAGCUAGAGUAUGGGAGAGGAUGGUAGAAUUCCAGGUGUAGCGGUGAAAUGCGUAGAGAUCUGGAGGAAUACCGAUGGCGAAGGCAGCCAUCUGGCCUAAUACUGACGCUGAGGCACGAAAGCGUGGGGAGCAAACAGGAUUAGAAACCCCUGUAGUCCCACUGU
rnacentral:rRNA from 1 species